rnacentral:rRNA from 1 species
GAUGAACGCUGGCGGCGUGCCUAAUACAUGCAAGUCGAGCGAACGGACGAGAAGCUUGCUUCUCUGAUGUUAGCGGCGGACGGGUGAGUAACACGUGGAUAACCUACCUAUAAGACUGGGAUAACUUCGGGAAACCGGAGCUAAUACCGGAUAAUAUUUUGAACCGCAUGGUUCAAAAGUGAAAGACGGCCUUGCUGUCACUUAUAGAUGGAUCCGCGCUGCAUUAGCUAGUUGGUAAGGUAACGGCUUACCAAGGCAACGAUGCAUAGCCGACCUGAGAGGGUGAUCGGCCACACUGGAACUGAGACACGGUCCAGACUCCUACGGGAGGCAGCAGUAGGGAAUCUUCCGCAAUGGGCGAAAGCCUGACGGAGCAACGCCGCGUGAGUGAUGAAGGUCUUCGGAUCGUAAAACUCUGUUAUUAGGGAAGAACAUAUGUGUAAGUAACUGUGCACAUCUUGACGGUACCUAAUCAGAAAGCCACGGCUAACUACGUGCCAGCAGCCGCGGUAAUACGUAGGUGGCAAGCGUUAUCCGGAAUUAUUGGGCGUAAAGCGCGCGUAGGCGGUUUUUUAAGUCUGAUGUGAAAGCCCACGGCUCAACCGUGGAGGGUCAUUGGAAACUGGAAAACUUGAGUGCAGAAGAGGAAAGUGGAAUUCCAUGUGUAGCGGUGAAAUGCGCAGAGAUAUGGAGGAACACCAGUGGCGAAGGCGACUUUCUGGUCUGUAACUGACGCUGAUGUGCGAAAGCGUGGGGAUCAAACAGGAUUAGAUACCCUGGUAGUCCACGCCGUAAACGAUGAGUGCUAAGUGUUAGGGGGUUUCCGCCCCUUAGUGCUGCAGCUAACGCAUUAAGCACUCCGCCUGGGGAGUACGACCGCAAGGUUGAAACUCAAAGGAAUUGACGGGGACCCGCACAAGCGGUGGAGCAUGUGGUUUAAUUCGAAGCAACGCGAAGAACCUUACCAAAUCUUGACAUCCUUUGACAACUCUAGAGAUAGAGCCUUCCCCUUCGGGGGACAAAGUGACAGGUGGUGCAUGGUUGUCGUCAGCUCGUGUCGUGAGAUGUUGGGUUAAGUCCCGCAACGAGCGCAACCCUUAAGCUUAGUUGCCAUCAUUAAGUUGGGCACUCUAAGUUGACUGCCGGUGACAAACCGGAGGAAGGUGGGGAUGACGUCAAAUCAUCAUGCCCCUUAUGAUUUGGGCUACACACGUGCUACAAUGGACAAUACAAAGGGCAGCGAAACCGCGAGGUCAAGCAAAUCCCAUAAAGUUGUUCUCAGUUCGGAUUGUAGUCUGCAACUCGAUUACAUGAAGCUGGAAUCGCUAGUAAUCGUAGAUCAGCAUGCUACGGUGAAUACGUUCCCGAGUCU